rnacentral:rRNA from 1 species
ACAACGGAGAGUUUGAUCCUGGCUCAGGACGAACGCUGGCGGCGUGCCUAACACAUGCAAGUCUGGGAGAAUAAGGUAGCAAUAUCUUUAGUAAACCGGCGCACGGGUGAGUAAUAUGUAGGCAACCUACCUUACGGACGGGAAUAACUCCGCGAAAGCGGGACUAAAACCCGAUAGUACAAUAGUUUUGCAUAAAACAAUUGUUAAAUUUCGAGCAAUCGAAAGCCAUAAGAUGGGCCUUCAUCCCAUUAGAUAGUUGGUGAGGUAACGGCUCACCAAGUCUGCGAUGGGUAGCUGAUCUGAGAGGAUGAUCAGCCACACUGGAACUGAGACACGGUCCAGACUCCUACGGGAGGCAGCAGUGAGGAAUAUUGCGCAAUGGAGGAAACUCUGACGCAGCGACGCCGCGUGAAGGAUGAAGGCCCUAUGGGUCGUAAACUUCUGUAGAGAGGGAAGAAAAAUUUGCUAUACGCAUUUUUGACGGUACCUCUAAAGUAAGGAUCGGCCAACUACGUGCCAGCAGCCGCGGUAAUACGUAGGAUCCAAGCGUUGUCCGGAUUUACUGGGUGUAAAGGGAGCGUAGGCGGAUUUUCAAGUCGAUGGUGAAAUCGUGCAGCUUAACUGUACAACUGCCUUCGAUACUGUAAAUCUUGAAUAUGGAAGAGGGUGACGGAAUUCAUGGUGUAGCAGUGAAAUGCGUAGAUAUCAUGAAGAACACCGGUAGCGAAGGCGGUCACCUGGUCCAUUAUUGACGCUCAGGCUCGAAAGCGUGGGGAGCAAACAGGAUUAGAUACCCUGGUAGUCCACGCCUUAAACGAUGAAUACUUGGUGUUGGGUCGCAAGACUCAGUGCCGAAGCUAACGCAUUAAGUAUUCCACCUGGGGAGUACGAUCGCAAGGUUGAAACUCAAAGGAAUUGACGGGGGCCCGCACAAGCAGUGGAGCAUGUGGUUUAAUUCGAUGCAACGCGAAGAACCUUACCAGGGUUUGAAAGGCAAGUGAUAAGCGAUGAAAGUCGCUCUUCCCGCAAGGGACACUUGUACAGGUGCUGCAUGGCUGUCGUCAGCUCGUGUCGUGAGAUGUUAGGUUAAGUCCUGCAACGAGCGCAACCCCUACAUUUAGUUGCCAUCAGGUAAUGCUGAGCACUCUAGAUGAACUGCCUACGUAAGUAGCGAGGAAGGUGGGGAUGACGUCAAGUCCUCAUGGCCCUUACACCCUGGGCCACACACGUGCUACAAUGGUCGCCACAAAGGGCAGCAAAGUCGUAAGGCGAAGCGAAUCCCAAAAAAGCGACCUCAGUUCGGAUUGAGGGCUGCAACUCGCCCUCAUGAAGUUGGAAUUGCUAGUAAUCGCGGAUCAGCACGCCGCGGUGAAUACGUUCCCGGGCCUUGUACACACCGCCCGUCAAGCCAUGGAAGUUGGGAGUACCCGAAGUCAUUACGCUAACCGCAAGGAAGCAGAUGCCUAAGGUAAAAUCAAUGACUGGGGCUAAGUCGUAACAAGGUAGCCGUACCGGAAGGUGCGGCUGGAUCACCUCCUUUCUA